rnacentral:lncRNA from 1 species
GGUUGUCGGCGGUCUGAAAAACCGGGAAUUCAUAGGGAAAGACAGGGAAUUUUGCAAGUUGCGCUCAGCAGAAGUAAAUGCAAUUUAAAGGGAAAAAAUCGAAGUGGAAGUUGUAUUCGAAUGUCAAGGAAUUUGAAGAUGAAGAAGUUUUGGCAACCCUGUUCUUCGGCAAAAUAUGCAGUAAUAAGGAAAUACGUACAUGCUGGGGUAAAUAGAGCGCUAUCGAAAAAACGAUGUUUUAUCAGACGUGGUUACCGCAUCUUGGACCAGAGUUCAACUUUAACCGAGGAUGGUAGAACUGGCCGGAAAAUAGGUCCAAACGGUUUCUUUUAAGGGUUCUGAAUUGUUUUAUCUUCACUUCUACAUUCUUAUUUGUUCUUCUUUAUCAUUCUUCUUUUAUCUUUGUCAUUUAUAGAUCCAUCAAGACCGUUAAAUCUCACUUUUUCAGUGUCCAAGGCCCAACUUUAACCCUUUUCCAUCCGCGCUGAAGCCCCAAAAAUAUGGGAAUCAUACCAGCAAGGCCGUGUAAACCAUCCACCCUGCACCAAGGGCCCAUAGAAACCGAGCAGUCCAGUCCCACCUGAUGUCCUGGAGAAUCCUAUCACUAGUUUUCAUACCAAAUGUCACGAGAAGCUGUGUACUCCCGUCCUGAAAGAUUUUUCAAAGGCUUUUCCUUGUAAUUUAUGCAAGAAAGCGUAUUCUAGAUGCACUUCUCUUCUCGGUCACGUGAAGAUGCACACCGGUGAUACGAAAUGCAAAAUAUGUGGGAAGGUUAUGUCUACAGUCGGGAUGUUGAGAGUACACUUGACGUCCACGGGAGUCCCACGGAAGAAAGGCAUGGAUCAAGAGAAGUCACGCCGAAUGCCCCUCUGUUUGCAUGCGAUCAUUGUCAAAAGGAGUACCAUUCUCGCUGUGCUCUGAUCAGACACAUGAAGGUGCACACCGGUGAAGGAAGCUGCAAAGUAUGGGGAAUAUGUCGCGGGUGGUCCUCAAGAUUUCACGUACGUUUCGGUCUACCCAAAGAACGGGGCCAUUGAAGGAACGACUCAUGAAGUGGGCGUUGUUCAGUGGAGAAUAAUUGCCGAAUAUGAUGCGCCUUACCGUCUUCCCAGUUUAAAUUGGUAUGCUGAGUCAGAUUUAUUCUAUUAUUUUAUUUUCUAAGUUUAGUAAAUAAUCAGUCUAAAUAAUUUAACUGUGGUACUUCAGUUACGGUAUCAUACAAUACAUCACAUUACCUGCAUUACAAU